CACUGUGCAGGCCACACACUAACCUGUCACGUAGGCCAUAAUUUAGUAUCUCCUUAAAUUCAUAGUGUUCUGCAAGCUUUCUCAAAGUUGCUACAAAUUGUACAACUGUUUCGUCUUCUUUCUAGUCUCUUUUGUGGAACCUGCAUCUUUCAGCAAUUACGAAUGGUUUUGGAGAAAAAUGGAACCCUAGGAUUUCCACAAUGUCACUGUAAGAUUUAGUCUCUGGCUUAACAAGGUGUAGUAAGCCGCAUAGUAGGGAGUAGGUUUUAGCCCCUACAGCACUUAAGAAUAUUGGCACCUUCUUCUCUUCUGUAAUGUCAUUUGCAAUAACAAAAAGCUCAAAACGCUCAGUAUAUACAUGCCAUUGCACUAUAGUCUCCUCAAAAGGUUUCAGUGGCCCUGUAAGUGUAGCCAUGAUCUUAGUGUCAGUUUGCAUAGUCAAUGCAAACAAACCAGUUCUCACCCCCUUCCAGCAGCAAAAAGAGUUUGGGGUUUUUUUUACCUUAACUUCUACUUCCUUCUGUUGCUGGGGCAGCACAGACAUCCCAUCCUCAUUGUCACGUUGUUACAUCCUUGGGGGCAACAGUUUUAGGAAGAAAUCACUGGAGACGCAGAGAGCUGUAAACCCUGAAAGCAGCCAUUUAUUACCACACGCUGAACUAACCAAAAACCAGCCAAACUGGCUGGCCUCUCCCCUAAUAAUCUAACUCAGUUGCCAUAGCAACACAAGAUUCUACUACCACGACAACCAAAUACACAACAAGUUGUGCUAAUAGUUUUUUGCUUUGGUUUGGUAGCAAAACAGAAAACAAUAUUUAUUUCAGCAAAAUGACUAAAUAAAGUUUUUAGCCUACUGCAAUAUUCUGGUCAACCCGAAACAAAAGUUUUCAAGGUUUUAAAAAUGUUUUAAAUUUUUUAAAAAUAAAAUUGGAAAUUCUGAAACAAAAUACCUUUCCAAAAUGAAAUGUCAACAUUUCAGAAAUGCAGAAAUAGAACUCUUUUGACACUUCUGAAUCUCCCCCCCCCCUUUUUUUUGGCAGAAAUAAUUUGCCAAAAUUGACUUCAAUCUAGGAAUGUUUUUGGUUGACCUGAAAGUUCGACCUUUUUAGUGAAAAAAGAUUUUGCAUGAAAAAUAUCUCCCGCCUCUAUCUGUAUUUUUAAUUUAUGAAAUCUUCUGCAUUGGCUGGGACAGCAGUUGGGCACAUAUUGCAACUAAAGGUUUGAAAGACUUGCUCAGGACUUUGAAGGAAGCAAUGAUAGAGAAGUACAACUGUGUCAUGAAAGAAAAGGGCAAGAUCUAUAGUAAACAGGCUUCUUGACCUUUUUCCUUUUGAAAUGUCUUAUGUUUCUCUUUACUAGUGAGAAUAUGACAAACUUUGGCUUUUCCUAUGGAAGCCUUUCCUGUUGCCAGCCCUCCCUUUCCUCAGUUAUUGGGAUUUGGUGUUAUGCUCAUUGGCUUGUGAUGUAAUCCCUAAAGUAAAGUUCAAAUGGGGAGAUUUUUUUUCUCAGUACAAACGGAAUAUGGGGGAACAGAAGGAACAAUCCUAUAUAGAAUUCCUUUAAAGAACAUUGUUUCUGUUUGGUAUGAGAUCACCUUAAUCUUCUCUUGAAGAAAGGACCCUUCUAUUAGUGCUAUUCUACAUAUGAUCUCAAGGCCUGGUGGGAAAAAGAUAAGUAUGGCAGAAAAGAGACCAAUGCGGUUUUCAGAGGUACCACAGAACAGAGCAAGAAGAUAAUUAUCCCUUUCUAUACUUUGAUGGAACAGUCACCCCUCGAAUAAUAGAGGGUGUUUGUGUAAAUCAAGCUGAGGAUAGAACCAAAGACUGAACAAACCAAGUAUCAUCCCUCCAAAUACUGAGUGCAGAUGGUCUCUUCUCCACAUGACUCUGGCUUCUUCAACACAGCACUGUUCCUCGUUCCCAGGCCCUCCAUGAUCAAGCAUUAGAGACUCAUGCACUAAGCUCAUGCACUAAGAGGUCCUAGGUUUGAUCCCGCCUGCCAACAACCGGGGUCUCUCAGUGUUACAAGUGGGGGCUCGUUUGGGAUUUGAACUGGGAAGUCUCUGAAGCUUGGGACACGCUUCCUCAGCUAGGGGAAGCAUGUAACCCACACACCUCUCCUGUGUGCGGUGUUCUGUCCCAUCUUGUGGCACUAAAACCACUUAGAGAAAGAGAUUAAUGAGUCUGCUUUUAGCUCAUGCAGUAGAGGCUCAUGCACUAAGCUCCAUAGGUCCCGCCUGCUCACGACCUGUGUUUGUCGGUGUUACAGCAGUGUGGAGACACAGGACUUCUGUGUGAAUGGCUUUUUGUCUCUGGCAGUUCCCCAACAUUCAUAUGACAUAAGGGUUGAAUCCCUGAUACUUUCAUAUGUGAAUUUCUGUGUGUGCUUGUAGGGAAGGGCAGCAGAUCCCUUGAAGAAAAGGUUGGAUGAAACCUUGCAUGAAGAUCCUUACUGAGUUUUCAUAUGCCCCUGCCCUGGAGGUGUCACUGGGAGAAGGUACAGUUCUGCCCCUCCAAUUGGCUGAACAGCUGACAAUGUGACUUAGAAUAUGUGUAAAAUUUGGCAGAUAACAUUAUUUCUUCCAAAAUAAAAAUGUGCACUUGGAUCAAGUCAUGUCAGGUUAUGAGCUAAAACCCUGUGUUCUAUUCUCAUAUGAUGGUGUGAUGUGCUGCAUCAGUGUCAGAAAUCUUCACAAAGAGACCUACAUCCCCAAAGAUUUGAGGAGAUCCUUUAUUGCUCUAUCUCUAGCCUGUUUUAGUUUUUUGUUCUUGCAAUUUUAGCUUUCUGCAGUUCAAGAAUAGAUUAGAUGAGCCACACUGGAUUAUAUUUUCAUAGAUGAAACAUGGUGCCCAGCAGUGUUGGUCAUGCAGACUGAAUUUGCUCUCUUUUUUUUUUGUUCUUAUCUUGUAUGUGCUGACCCUGUAUUUUUUCCUCUCAGCAUUUCAGCACAAAUAACUUACAAACUUACAGUGGCGCACUCAAAGUUAGUAUAGUUAACGGGUAUGUUUACAUUUCACUGACAAUUCUCAGGAUUUUAUAAAUCAACUUUAAACAUUUCAUUUUAGUCCGUGUUUUCUGUAUAUGAUUAUUAGAGCACUUAUUUAAAGUAUAAAACACCCAUAUAUAGAAUCACAGAAGUUAAGAGAUGGAAAAGACCUAUUAGAUCAUGUAGUCCAUUCUUCUGCCAUUGCAGGAUUGUUUGUUCCCUAUUGUACGUUUUCAAUAUUGGUGUUAGUAUUAUGUGCCAAGUGUGAAAUUCCAAAGGUUUUCAUAUUAUUCCGUUUAAAUGUUUCCAUUACUUUUAGUGACAUCCCUACACACACUUAAAUUCCUUUUUCUGCUUGAUGUUUAAGCUCAAAUUAGUAAUACACUUUUAUGUUCCCCAUGACAUUGUUUAGUGUCUAUACGUAUGUAAUACACAUAAUCUUUCCUUGUAAGUCAGUCAGUCAAACGUUUCAAUUUUGGGGAGAUAUUUUUCUGUUUUUUUCCCCCCACAUCAGCAUGUGAGGACUGAAAGUGAGCUUGGGUAUGUUAGCCUUAACUGUAAUUUACUUUACGGGAGUGAAUGAUACGUAAAUAGUAUUUUGUUGCUUGCUGAAUGUCUUGUCUUUUUGUUCUUGUCAAUUCUUUAAUGAGUCCAAUUAAAGUAAAAUUUUAAUCUA